rnacentral:rRNA from 1 species
GAUCAUGGCUCAGGACGAACGCUGGCGGCGUGCCUAAUACAUGCAAGUAGAACGCUGAAGGAGGAGCUUGCUUCUCUGGAUGAGUUGCGAACGGGUGAGUAACGCGUAGGUAACCUGCCUGGUAGCGGGGGAUAACUAUUGGAAACGGUAGCUAAUACCGCAUAACAGCAGUUGUUGCAUGACAACUGUUUAAAAGGUGCAAUUGCAUCACUACCAGAUGGACCUGCGUUG